rnacentral:rRNA from 1 species
UAAAGCGCGCGUAGGUGGUUGUUAAGUUGGAUGUGAAAUCCCCGGGCUCAACCUGGGAACUGCAUUCAAAACUGACUGACUAGAGUAUGGUAGAGGGUGGUGGAAUUUCCUGUGUAGCGGUGAAAUGCGUAGAUAUAGGAAGGAACACCAGUGGCGAAGGCGACCACCUGGACUGAUACUGACACUGAGGUGCGAAAGCGUGGGGAGCAAACAGGAUUAGAUACCCCAGU